UCCCUCGUGGUCUACUGGCUAGGAUACCUGGCUUUCAUCCAGGAGGCCCCGGUUCGAUUCCCGGCGUGGUAA
rnacentral:tRNA from 1 species